rfam:Salmo salar isolate Sally breed double haploid chromosome ssa13, whole genome shotgun sequence.
UGAACUCACUACUGUAAGUUGCUCUAGAUAAGAGCAUCUGCUAAAUGAAUCAAA